rnacentral:tRNA from 1 species
UAGAAGGUGGUGUAGUGGAAGCACUAAGAGUUUUGAUCUCUUUAGCAUAGGUUCAAGUCCUUUCUUUCUAA